UCAGAGUAGCCCAUCGACGCAAAAGAAGGAUUAUGGCCGCAAUAAAUGGUACACACUACAUCCUACGAAGCCAUUCGGUGCGGAAGGAAAAAAGCCCAGGGAGCAGCGAGGGCAGGAAGCCGUGAUGAUGCCGACGAUCAAUUAUUUCAUCAGGAAAUUUUGAUGCAAAUUCAAUACUUCUUUCUAUUGGAAUUAUUUUUCCUUGGGAAAUAUAAUGUCCUAAAAACCUUACUUU
rnacentral:lncRNA from 1 species